GAUGAACGCUGGCGGCGUGCCUAAUACAUGCAAGUCGAGCGAACAGACGAGGAGCUUGCUCCUCUGACGUUAGCGGCGGACGGGUGAGUAACACGUGGAUAACCUACCUAUAAGACUGGGAUAACUUCGGGAAACCGGAGCUAAUACCGGAUAACAUGUUGAACCGCAUGGUUCAACAGUGAAAGACGGUCUUGCUGUCACUUAUAGAUGGAUCCGCGCCGCAUUAGCUAGUUGGUAAGGUAACGGCUUACCAAGGCAACGAUGCGUAGCCGACCUGAGAGGGUGAUCGGCCACACUGGAACUGAGACACGGUCCAGACUCCUACGGGAGGCAGCAGUAGGGAAUCUUCCGCAAUGGGCGAAAGCCUGACGGAGCGACGCCGCGUGAGUGAUGAAGGUCUUCGGAUCGUAAAACUCUGUUAUUAGGGAAGAACAAAUGUGUAAGUAACUAUGCACGUCUUGACGGUACCUAAUCAGAAAGCCACGGCUAACUACGUG
rnacentral:rRNA from 1 species